AGUAUGAGUCCUUAAGGUACGUAAGAUCUUUCACUGGUGAGAUACUGACGGUAUCCUGAGACGAAGCACGCGUACUUCUGUCUGCAGACCCAGCUAUUAUCGAAUGAGAGCUCAGCGUGUUUCCGUAUAUUUCUGAGCUUAUAGAGCACGUACGGCGGGUAUUCUAAAUCUGUGGUGAAAAUACCUGCAGCUCACCUGCUGUAACUGCGCUUGAUAAUGUGGUAUCUUGAGUGUGGAAGAGAUGAGUGGAGUUCUGCGAGUAGAGGUGAAAUAUGUAUAUAUUUUGAGGAGCACCACUGCCGAGGAGGGGGUCUCUAGUCCAUAACUGACGCUGAGGUGCGAAAGCGUGGGGAGCAAACACAGAUUAGAUAUCCUGGUAGUGCACGCCGUAAACGAUGAAAGUUAGCCGUCGGGCAGUUUACUGUUCGGUGGGGCAGCUAACGCAUUAAACAAUCCGCUUGGGGAGUGCGGUCGCACGAUUAAAAAUCAAAGAAAUUGACGGGGGGGGGCACAAGCGGUGGAGCAUGUGGUUUAUUUUGAUGCAACGCGCAGAACGUUACCAGCUCUUUCCAUCCCGAUUGUGGACAGUGGAGACAUUGUCCUUUACUUAUGGGGGGUCGGUGACAGGUGUUGCACGGGGGUUUUCACCUCGUGUCGUGAGAUGUUGGGUUAAAUGUCCCAACAAGCGCAACCCUCGUCCUUUUUUGUCACCAUUCACAUGGGCGCUCUAUGGGGGGACCCGGUGAUAAAACGCGAGGAAAGGGGGGAUGACGUCAAAUCCUCAUGGCCCCUUCGGGCUGGGGUACACACGUGCUACAAAGGUGGGGACAAAGGGCAGAGAGACCCCGAGGUCGAACUAAUUUCCAAAAACCCUAUCACUUCGGAUUGCACUGUGCAAAUCUAGUGCACGAAAAGGGAAUCUCUAUUAAUAGCAGAUCACCACGUUGCGGGGAAUACGUUCCCGGGCCUUGUACACACCGCCCGUCACACCACGGGAGUUGUUUUUACCCGAAGACGUUGCGCUAACACCCAAGGGAGGCAGGCGACCACGGUAGGGUCAGGACUGGGGUGAAGUCGUAACAAG
rnacentral:rRNA from 1 species